AGCGGAAGUGGGUUGCUGUUGAGGCGGCGGCGUCUUUCUCGAGGGGCUCUCCUGGGCUUCUGAAGAAGGAGCCUCUCUGGAGUGCGGCGGAGGCGGCGCCUGCGAACCUAACUAGCUCCAGGUUAGGCCGGGCUUUGCGGGAAAGCAGCGGACUUGAAAAUACUGGAAAUCUGUCUGGAUCCAAAUUCUUUUGCAAGCCAGAUGAGUAACCAGAGGGCAUGAAAGAGAAAGCGUCGUGGUGGAGCAAUAAAUUCUAGACAAGCCCAGAAGCGAACUCGGGAAGCAACCUCCACCCCAGAGAUUUCCUUGGAAGCAGAACCCAUAGAACUCGUGGAAACUGCUGGAGAUGAAAUUGUGGACCUCACUUGUGAAUCUUUAGAGCCUGUGGUGGUUGAUCUGACUCACAAUGACUCUGUUGUGAUUGUUGACGAAAGAAGAAGACCGAGGAGGAAUGCUAGGAGGCUGCCCCAGGACCAUGCUGACAGCUGCGUGGUGAGCAGUGACGAUGAGGAGUUGUCCAGGGACAGAGACGUGUAUGUGACUACCCACACUCCCAGAAAUGCCAGGGAUGAGGGCGCUGCAG
rnacentral:sRNA from 1 species